ACGCACGCUGGCGGCAGGCCUAACACAUGCAAGUCGAGCGGACCCUUCGGGGUUAGCGGCGGACGGGUGAGUAACGCGUGGGAAUAUGCCCUUCUCUACGGAAUAGUCCUGGGAAACUGGGGGUAAUACCGGAUACGCCCUUUGGGGGAAAGAUUUAUCGGGGAAGGAUUAGCCCGCGUUGGAUUAGGUAGUUGGUGGGGUAAUGGCCUACCAAGCCGACGAUCCAUAGCUGGUUUGAGAGGAUGAUCAGCCACACUGGGACUGAGACACGGCCCAGACUCCUACGGGAGGCAGCAGUGGGGAAUCUUAGACAAUGGGGGCAACCCUGAUCUAGCCAUGCCGCGUGAGUGAUGAAGGCCUUAGGGUUGUAAAGCUCUUUCAGCUGGGAAGAUAAUGACGGUACCAGCAGAAGAAGCCCCGGCUAACUCCGUG
rnacentral:rRNA from 1 species